UUUUAAAAAAAUUGAGGAUAGGGAUCUAUUGAAGAAAUCAAUUCUGGAAGAAUUAAAAUUCUUGGACUUGGAUUGAAAUUGGGAUUAUAUCCCUAUAAAUCAACAUCGAAGCUGAGAGUGAUAAAAAAAAAAAAGAUCACGAUAAAAAAAAUUGGAAAAGGAAGAUUGGUAGUGAAAAAAGUUCAGUUACAAGUAAAUUUAGGGAAACAAUAGAAUUUCACUAUCAAUAGGAGUAGUGAAAAUUUUUCACAGUCAUCAGCUACGUCCAAUCAGCUCUGCCAUUCCCUGCUCCAAAAUCACAUACCCAAUUUCCUAGUAAAAAAAUUCAUAAACACAAUUUAGAAUUUUUUAAUCAAGCAAGAAACAAAGCCUUAGCACCAGAAAAUCGAAGAACCCCACAAAACCCCUAGUCCCAACAACAUAAGAAGUGAAACCCAAACCCAAAAAUCAAGUCAACCUAAAGCAAGCCCUAACACAGACGAUUGAAAGCAUUCAAGCAAAAACCUAGAAGCCAAAUCAGCAGCUCUAAACUAAAAGCAACCACAAGUAAGAACAGAGAGUUACGGGCAGAUAAAGAAAACUCAAGCAACUUAGUAGUCAAAACCCAAAAAUCUCACCAAUCCGAGAACACCUAUAAACAAUUUAGUAUCCCUAAACCCAAAUCCUGCAUACAACAAAGAAAUUCAACACACCAUACGCAAACCCUACAGAAAACAACCAUAAUCCAUACCUAUAAUCACAGAAAACAAAAAGCAUAAAAAAGAGAAAGAGAUUAAGGUUUCGGUAUUAGAAUUUCAAGUUAAGGCUCUGGGAUUUGAUAUUUGUUCUUAUAAAAGACUUUGUGUUAGUGGUAGAGCUAGUGGCAAAAAAGGCAAUCAAAGCUAUGGUUUUUGAAAUUUGAUCUUGGAUUCUUGAAGAAUUUUUUGAAGACUUGUUUAAGUGAAAAAUGGAAAAAGUUUGAAGGGCAAGGGCAAAAAGUGAAGGAAGCAA
rnacentral:lncRNA from 1 species